UGGGGUGUAGCUCAGUGGCAUGGUACUUGCCUGGCAUUCAGAAAGCCCUGGGUUCCAUCCCCAGCACCACAC
rnacentral:tRNA from 1 species